GGGGAUUUAGCUCAAUGGUAGAGCACUUGCCUAGCAAGUGCAAGGCCCUGGGUUCAAUCCCCA
rnacentral:tRNA from 1 species